rnacentral:misc_RNA from 1 species
AAGUCGUAACAAGGUUUCCGUAGGUGAACCUGCGGAAGGAUCAUUAAUAGUAUCUAAAAUAUACCUUAUUGUGCAUUGUUUUUGCUUUUUGCAGGCGUUAUACAGAUAAUGUAUAGUGUAGUAUGCUGUGUAUUGUUGUGAAGGAAAGAUAAUGAUGAUGUCAUUUGUCAUUGUCACUUCACAAUAGUAUACGUACAUUUUGCCUAUACACAAUAUGUAUAACUUUUUGUUAAACAAACUUAUGUUUAUUAAUAUAUUGUAAUGUUGUCGUUAUUUUUAGCAGUUAUUAACUGUAGUAUA